UUUUAUGUGUUUAUCAUAUCCGCCGCUCUAUAUUUUUUUUCUUAAACAUAGCAAAAACAAAUCCUUAAAAAGUUUGGGAUGGACGCUUCAACGAAGAAACCACAAAUCCGAUUUAGUUCUUUUAAAUUCUUAAAAAGUUCGGGAUGAACGUAUCAACGAAGAAACCACGAAUCUCAUUUGAUUCUUUUGCAGAGGGACCACUCGUACUAGGGCUUGUAUUGUUGUAUCAUGCUUCAGUGAGGAAAGGACGUGACUCAGGUUGACGAGUCUUUCUAGGGAUAACUAAUCAGUAAUAAAGGAGGUCUUAGGUGGCGAAUACAAACAAGCCAAAUACUUCCCUCAUAAACAGGACAAGAACCAAAUAAGGUUUAUGUAAAUGUAAGCCAUUCAAACUAUAUACACAAGUAAAUAAAACCAAGAUUUUAGUUAAAAGCGAUCAUUUCCACUUC